rnacentral:rRNA from 1 species
AGUGAACGCUGGCGGUAGGCCUAACACAUGCAAGUCGAACGGCAGCACAGUAAGAGCUUGCUCUUACGGGUGGCGAGUGGCGGACGGGUGAGGAAUACAUCGGAAUCUACUUUUUCGUGGGGGAUAACGUAGGGAAACUUACGCUACUACCGCAUACGACCUACGGGUGAAAGCAGGGGAUCUUCGGACCUUGCGCGAUUGAAUGAGCCGAUGUCGGAUUAGCUGGUUGGCAGGGUAAAGGCCCACCAAGGCGACGAUGCGUAGCUGACCUGAGGGGAUGAUCGGCCACACUGGAACUGAGACACGGUCCAGACUCCUACGGGAGGCCGCAGUAGGGAAUCUUCCGCAAUGGGCUGAAGCCUGACGGAGCAACGCCGCGUGAGUGAUGAAGGUCUUCGGAUCGUAAAACUCUGUUAUUAGGGAAGAACAUAUGUGUCAGUAACUGUGCACAUCUUGACGGUACCUAAUCAGAAAGCCACGGCUAACUACGUG